rnacentral:lncRNA from 1 species
UGAAACGCUGACAUCAGGGAAAAUCACAGUCUAUGUCCCAAACACCUGUCAGAUCAAGAAUAUUACACAGCCACGUCAAGCUGGCAAAUGUGUUUGGACACUUGAUUGUCAGGACACAAGCUAUGUAAAGUUGGAAGUCAUAAACCCAACCAACCCAACCAACCCGCCAAGGUCCAUCAGUGUUACAUGCUAUGACAAAGACGGUUUUGUGGCUAAUGAACAUGGCAAUGAUGAGUAUCAUUUCUUCUUCAAAGAGUGUUCUGUUAACCAGUGUAACAGUAACAGAGAGGAAAUAAAGAUUGAAAAUGAGAGUAAUAAUAAAGUGAAGAUCACAUUUAAAAACAAUGAAUGCACGUUCCCUGUCAGUCACUGUUCUGGAGGUA